rnacentral:rRNA from 1 species
GACGAACGCUGGCGGCGUGCUUAACACAUGCAAGUCGAACGGAAAGGCCCUGCUUUUGUGGGGUGCUCGAGUGGCGAACGGGUGAGUAUCACGUGAGUAACCUGCCCUUGACUUUGGGAUAACUUCAGGAAACUGGGGCUAAUACCGGAUAGGAGCUCCUGCUGCAUGGUGGGGGUUGGAAAGUUUCGGCGGUUGGGGAUGGACUCGCGGCUUAUCAGCUUGUUGGUGGGGUAGUGGCUUACCAAGGCUUUGACGGGUAGCCGGCCUGCGAGGGUGACCGGCCACAUUGGGACUGAGAUAGGGCCCAGACUGCUACGGGAGGCAGCAGUGGGGAAUAUUGCACAAUGGGCGGAAGCCUGAUGCAGCAACGCCGCGUGCGGGAUGACGGCCUUCGGGUUGUAAACCGCUUUCGCCUGUGACGAAGCGUGAGUGACGGUAAUGGGUAAAGAAGCAACGGCUAACUACGUG